UACGGGAAGGGGGCUUAGUCGGUUGUUCGAUUUAGCUAGGGCGUAAAGCGCACGUAGGCGGAUCGAUCAGUCAGGGGUGAAAUCCCAGGCUCACCCUGGAACUGCCUUUGAUACUGUCGAUCUGGAGUAUGGAAGAGGUGAGUGGAAUUCCGAGUGUAGAGGUGAAAUUCGUAGAUAUUCGGAGGAACACCAGUGGCGAAGGCGGCUCACUGGUCCAUUACUGACGCUGAGGUGCGAAAAGCGUGGGGAGCAAACAGG
rnacentral:rRNA from 1 species